UAAUAUUAGGUAUUAUGUAUUUUCAGGUUUCUUCUGUUGGGUUUGAAUUGACAUGCUACCUAAGAAGGGGUUUAUUGUUGUUGCCUUUUGUUUUAGAUUUCAAAAAUUGAUUACAUUCGGUGCUUGUUAUUUUAGCAAUAUCUUAUGUAGAUGCACCCUAAUUCUUGUCUUAGGGACAAAGUUUCAACUUGGUGCAUGGGUUUGAGUGGAGUUCAAGGCCGCUGGUUUUUAUUCACCCCUCUUGGUAUAUGGGGGGAUAUGUUCAAAAUCACCAUCAAUCUUAUUAAUCUUUUUUUCCUUCGUUCGAAGAUAUAAUAUUAUGAUGUUUUGAUUACAGAUACUGAAAUAUGCCUUUACUUCCUUCUGUGCUGCCAUGUAUUUGUUCGAUGUAUGUUGCUUUAUGGUCUUUAAGCUAUUAGAUAAUUACCGCCAAACAGUGCUUAAGCCUUUAUGUUUUGUCUUCCUUUCGUUGGUUUAUUUCUAAGCUUGUCAUUCCAUAUAUUUGGUCUCCCAAAUUGUAUAGAGGUCUGGUUUGACAUUCUCUUGACGAUGAUUCCCUAUUUUCGUGAUUUGAUGCGUAUGGAGAAUUGGUUGCAUUUAAAGUUUAUGACUCUGUUGUGGGGAGCAGAUUCUGGUUUGGUUUCUUAACAAGAACAUGUUAACUUCCUACUUUUAAAUUCUCUCUCUCUCUCACCCCCUAAAUGAAUAUUGGGUACUUUGUAUUUUUCAGGUUUCUUCGGUGGGGUUCUAGUUGACAUACCAUUUAAGAGGGGGUUUAAUUCUUCUUUCCUUCUGUUUAAUUUCCCAUCUUAAGGAUUUAUAAGAUUUGGUGCUGUUAUUUAGCAAUAUCUGAAGUAGAUGCAUCCUAAUUCUUGUCUUAGGGAAAAAGUUUUCCUUGGGGCAUGGCAAUGAAUGGACCUCAUGGGUGCUGGUUUUGUUUAUUCACCCUUCUGCUUUCUUGUUUCUUUUACAUAUUCAAUAUCGGUGAAUUAUGUGGUUGUCUUUCCUUUGAUGUCUUAUGCAGAUGAAUCUCUUGCUUUUAGUCUGUCUUCAUGGAGCUGAGUAUGAGGAUUUUGAGUAGCUUCUGCAGUUGCCUAAUUGACCCUGUUUGCUUUCUUAUUUCUGUUACAUGUUCAAUAUCGUGAAUUCCGUGGUCUUUCCUUUCGUGUCUUAUGCAGUGCAUCUUUUGCUUUAGUCCAGAGUAUCAGGAUUUUGAGGAGCUUCUGCAGUAGUUCUAUUUGGUGAUCGUUUUCAGGGAUUUGUUUUUAAAGGUUUACGUUGCAGUUAGUUCUUGGCUUGUAAUUUAAUUUCUUAUUUCUUUGAUGUCUGGAACCAUUUGUUUAUGCAGAUUGCAAAUCUUGUCUGUCUAUGGAAUCUCAGUCUCCGUUGAAUAAAAAUGGGUUGCCUAACUAUAAGAGGGGUCUUUUAUCUGAUCUUUUUUAUUCGUACUGUCUGUAGUGUGGGGCACAUUGUCUGAGCUAUAUUUCUUCCUGCUGGCGUAUCCUAACUCGUGUCUGUAUAUGGAGGUCUCACUUUCUCGAACGAGUUUUAAGAAGGGGUUUGAGUAGUUUUUGGCUUAUGAUUUUGUUUCUUAUUUCUUGGUGUUUAUGAGGUAUGGAACCAUUAUUUGAGCACUCUUUUAUGCAGAUGCAUCCCAACGCUUGUCGGUUGCUGGAGUGUCACACUGUUGAAAGAAAAAAAGGGGUUUUCUGAGUUAUUAUCUGAUUUUAUAUUAUUGGAGCCCGUACGACAUCCUGAGACAUUUUUUGCUCAAUGUCUUUAUAUGCAGACCAUUACACUUGUCUUCUUGUGGGGUCUGAUUCCUUGAACAAGCUGCUUUUAAGAAAGGGUUUGAGUGGUUCUCUGCUUAACUUCUUACAUGAGCCAUUAAUGUUUUCUUUUAGAGUUUGAUGCAUCUUGUGUAUGGUGAAGAGUUUAUAAGAUCUGGUACCAUUGUUCGAGCAAUAUUCUAUGCAGAUGCAAUUUAACUUGCAUGUGUAUGAAGUCUUUGUUUAAGGAGAGCAGGGGGUCUUUUAUCUGAUCUUUUUUAUUCCUACCAUCUGGAUAAUGUGGGGCAUGUUGUCUGAGCUAUAUUUCUGCCUGCAGGCGUAUCCUAACUCGUGUCUGUAUAUGGAGGUCUCACUUUCUCGAACGAGUUUUAAGAAGGGAUGCAUCCCAACGCUUGUCGGUUGCUGGAGUGUCACACUGUUGAAAGAAAAAAGGGGUUUUCUGAGUUAUUAUCUGAUUUUAUAUUAUUGGAGCCUGUAUGACAUCCUGAGACAUUUUUUGCGCAAUGUCUUUAUAUGCAGACCAUUACACUUGUCUUCUUGUGGGGUCUGAUUCCUUGAAGUAGAACGGGCGGCCUUUUAAGAAAGGGUUCGAGCAAUAUUCUAUGCAGAUGCAAUUUAACUCGCAUGUGUAUGAAGUCUUACUUUGUUUAAGGAGAGCAGGGGGUCUUUUAUCUGAUCUUUUUUAUUCGUACUGUCUGUAUAAUGUGGGGCACAUUGUCUGAGCUAUAUUUCUGCCUGCAGGCGUAUCCUAACUCGUGUCUAUAUAUGGAGGUCUCACUUUCUCAAACGAGUUUUAAGAAGGGGUUUGAGUGGUUUUUUGCUUGUGAUUUUGUUUCUUAUUUUUUGGUGUUUAUGAGGUAUGGAACCAUUAUUUGAGCACUCUUUUAUGCAGAUGCCUCCCAACGCUUGUUGGUUGCUGGAGUCUCACUGUUGAAAGAAAAAAAGGGGUUUCCUGAGUUAUUAUCUGAUUUUAUAUUAUUGGAGCCCGUACGACAUCCUGAGACAUUUUUUGCUCAAUGUCUUUAUGUGCAGACCAUUACACUUGUCUUCUUGUGGGGUCUGAUUCCUUGAAGUAGAACGGGCGGCCUUUAAGAAAGGGUUUGAGUGGUUCUCUGCUUAUGAUUUAACUUCUUACAUGAGCCAUUAAUGUUUUCUUUUAGAGUUUGAUGCAUCUUGUGUAUGGUGAAGAGUUUAUAAGAUCUGGUACCAUUGUUCGAGCAAUAUUCUAUGCAGAUGCAAUUUAACUCGCAUGUGUAUGAAGUCUUUGUUUAAGGAGAGCAAGGGGUCUUUUAUCUGAUAUUUUUUAGUCGUACCGUCUGUAUAAUGUGGGCACGUUGUCUGAGCUAUAUUUCUGCCUGCAGGCGUAUCCUAACUCGUGUCUAUAUAUGGAGGUCUCACUUUCUCAAUUGAGUUUGAAGAAGGGGUUUGAGUACUUCUUGGCUUAUGAUUUUGUUUCUUAUUUCUUGGUGUUUAUGAGGUAUGGAACCAUUAUUUGAGCACUCUUUUAUGCAGAUGCAUCCCAACGCUUGUCGGUUGCUGGAGUGUCACACUGUUGAAAGAAAAAAAGGGGUUUUCUGAGUUAUUAUCUGAUUUUAUAUUAUUGGAGCCCGUAUGACAUCCUGAGAUAUUUUUUGCGCAAUGUCUUUAUAUGCAGACCAUUACACUUGUCUUCUUGUGGGGUCUGAUUCCUUGAAGUAGAACGAGCUGCUUUUAAGAAAGGGUUUGAGUGGUUCUCUGCUUAUGAUUUAACUUCUUACAUGAGCCAUUAAUGUUUUCUUUUAGAGUUUGAUGCAUCCUGUGUAUGGUGAAGAGUUUAUAAGAUCUGGAGCAAUAUUCUAUGCAGAUGCAAUUCAACUCGCAUGUGUAUGAAGUCUUACUUUUUUUAAGGAGAGCAGGGGUGCUACUAGGAGUGAAUUUCUUCGCCCUAUUAUUUGAUUUGCUGGUCUUUGAGAUUUUGCACAACUUAUUUGAACAGCAUUUCUAUAUGCAGACACAUCCUAACUCUUGUCUUAUGCAUGGAGUCCAACAUUGUUGACACAGAAGAGCUUCUUCCAAGAGGGGGUUUCUUGUCUUAUUAUCUAUUAUCUAUUUUGGAGAUUGUAUGAGAUCUUGGGCCAUGAUUUGCACCAUUUUUUUCCAUUCUAUGCAGAUCAUCUUGUCUGUAUAUGGGGUCCAACUUUGUUGAAGGAAAUCGCUAUUAAGAGGGAGUUGAGUAUUAUAGCCUUAUGAUUUAAUUUCUUCUUGGGUUUAUGAGAUUCGACACUUUUGUUGGGCAUUCUUUUGUGCAGAUGUAUUGUAGCUCUGCACUGUUUCUGGAUCUUUUUCCUCAGAUGUUGGGCUUUGUUGAUUUUUUUCUUGUGCUUUAAUGUCUCAGUUUUUAAGGAGUGAUGAGAUGCAUCCUUGUUCGUGUGUGAACCAGUGUAACUUAAUUCAUGACUGGACUAAUUUCUUAAGGAGAUUAUGCUGCGUCUGAUCUUUGUUGUGGCUCUCUUUUUUGAGGAGGGUUUCUGCAGUUCAAUUUCAAGUUAAUGUUAAUGGCGAAACCUCAGGAACAGGUGUCAUGCCGAGUUUUGUUUUCCGUUUAUUCAAUUCAGUAUGCUGAACCUUUGAACCUUUGGGCAAUUCUUCAGUCAUUGUCUCGUGCAGAUGCUUAUUAAGUCUUACUUGAGUUAAGUUGAUGAGGAUGAUUUUUCGAGUGACAAUCAGAACUUGUGGCACCGCGCCUGGUUUUUCAUAUUUGCCUUUGUUUUCUUGAUACUUACAUUUCUUUUCAACUGGUGAUACGUUAUGAUGUUGUCAAUGUUUUUUGUGGUAGUUCAUGGAUUUUCCUGUGCGGAAGUUUUGUAGCUCGGAGUCUGUCUUGGAUCUCCGUUGAUUCCUUGAGAAACACUCCACAUUUGUUUUCUUAUUCAUGGUCUUAUUUCAUGGUGUUUAUCCUUCCUGGCUCGAUAGUUCAACAUAUUCAUGUGGUGAUGGGUUUGUUCUUUUCUUUAACUUAAUUAUCUUCUCUCAAAAUUUACUUUAUUUCUGUUUUUUAAAAGAUUUAACUUAUUAAAGAAUUUGAAUUUCGUGUUGGGGCCUCAAGAUCCUUAAUUUUGUAUGACUCUGUGCCUCCCAUUCACUUCUAUAUUACACUGGUCUUUAAUUAAUUCACACAUUUUAAGGGUCAGCAGAUGCUUGUCUUUAUUGGUAUUGCUGUUUUUGUCUGUUUAAAUGUUUGAUUUGUCUGGUUGAAGGUGGAUUCAAUGCAGUCUGUUCAGCUUUGUGCAAUACUUUGGCCAUUGAGGGUUGGAUAUUCUUUGGUGCUUAUCUCUUUUUUCGCCUCUUCUUUGACCUUUUCAGAAGGGCUCUUGUUAAGAUAUUUGGUCGUUCAUUUGAUAUUUUACUGCUGAGUGUAUAUGAUCUGGCACCACCAUUUGAUCUCAUGCAAUGUGUUGGCAGUUGCAACCUAACUUGUUUUUUACUGGAGUCGCACUUUGUCAGAGCCUAGAACAUCUCUUUUUGGAGGUGGUUCUAUGUUCCUUUGCUUGCGAUUUAGUUCUUUGUAGACCAUAAAUGUGGCAUUUUUGAGCAAAUGUAUUAUGCAAAUUCAUUUCGCAUUUUUUUACUUGAUUACAUAUUACUGGAAUGGGUAUUCAAGCAAACCAACGAAAUUAAGGAUUUGGCGUGUGCGACAAUCAAGAGGAAUGGGAGUUGCCUUUGUAGAGUGUAUGUCUUUCCUUUUGGUCUUGUCUUCAUUGGAAUGUGGACUGCUUUUAAGAGGUGUCUGGUACUUCCUGGUGUAUGGUUUAUUUUUGUUAGAUUUUAUCAGAUAUGAUUCGAGCAAAAAGAUUUGUGCAGCAACAUUUGUCUCUUAAAGUCCUGGGGUUUAUAGGUGGGCAGGCUGCUGAUUGUUUUAAGAGGGAGUGGGAAUGUGGUAUGCAGAUUGACGUCUUUGGAUGCAGUGAAGUAUCAUUGGACCGUAGAGCAGCACUUGCUGACACAUAAACUGAGUAUGACUUUGAUCUUCGUUGAUGGAACUGUUCUGUGAGGGGUUGUGAGAUUUGAUUUUGUCUUUUACAUAGUAUCUUAUUUCAAAUAUGUUUCAAACUUUUAUUCAUUGAUCUCGUUUUGCCGGAGGUUUACUGAUGUUCAGGUUGACGGGAUUGAUUUGGCAGCAGAAAUGGAUAGGAUGACUUGUUUUGAUUUUCUUUGGAUUUCAGCAUUUCCGAUCUUAAUUAGCUUAUCUUCCAUGUCUUGCUCGAUUUUUCAGACUAUGGGCUGAGGGUUAAUUCUUUCCUUUGAUUUAAUUGCUUCUCUCAAAGUCUUUUCGUAUAUAUAUAUAUUUUUCUCAAGUACAGAUGCUAAUAUGUACCUCUUCGGCUUUUAUAGUGUUGGAGGUGGUGGUUUGUGGUCUGCUAAAGGGUUUGGCUUUUGUCUUAAACAUAGAGACCUGUUGGCAUCUUUCGGUGUGAGUGCCUGGUUUGCUUUUGCUGGUUCUUUUGUUGUGGCAUGUUGCUUUUUUAUUCUGGCAGGCUAAAGUUGCUCAAGUUUGUGAUGGAUCAGUUUGUUGGAUAUUUGAAAUUUCUGUGCAGAGUAGUCCAUUGUAUAAGGUUGGGUUUUUAAGCUUGAAGUGUGCUGAUCCGUUUAGGUUACACAUGGUGUAUGCUUUGGUGUAUCAUUUAAUUUGUUUCCUGUAAGAGAGAAGAUUUGGUACCUGUUUUAUGUGCACACUUUCCUGAAGAGUGUUUUUUCUAGGUGGAGAAAUGCAGGUCUUUAAAAGGGGUUGUUUAACAAGUUGACGAUCUGGCAUAAUUAUAUGGGUCGUGUUUUAUGCAGAAGCAGUCUCAUUCUUUCAAUGCUGUCUCAGAUUCAAGUUUAUGCAGAGACCUGAUAAAACUGUUUUUUAAACUGCUGGUGGAAAUAAAUGUGGCAUGACGUGUGAUAUUUUCCUUCCCUGUCUUUUUAGUUUCGUCAGCUGAUAAUACUUUUUUCUAUAACUGUUCCUUUGUAUAGCUUUUGUGUUCAUUUGGGCGGCUUGAUAGGAUCUGCCGUUCUUUCCUUCAUUUGGUGCUUCUCAUGCGUAGUCCAACUUAUUGAACGUUGCAAUCUGACACACUUUCUAUGAUCAAUUUGACAUUUUAAAAGGAUUUGAGUAUUAAUUAUAUUCUUCAUUGUUGGUGUCAAAUUAUAGACAUUUUGAACUCUAGUGUGUUUUUUAUAUUGAUGUCCUUAUGAGUUGCUGGGUGUGUUUCUUUUAUUGGUUCAAUAAUGCUGUGGUUGAGCGUCAUUUGACUAUUCCCAGCUGGUUGCUAAUACAGGUUGAUUUUCUGGAACUAAUUUGAAUGUGAGUCGUGCUUUAAUGCAUACAUAGCUUAUUUUGGAUCUUGCAAAAACCUACAAUAUAACAAUGAACAAAUAUGCUUUAGCUGGAUUUUAAGCUCGUGAAGUGUGGAAGGGAUGAUAGGGAUGAGGUCCUCUGAGAGAUUGCAUUAAAUGUGAUACUUGAUCUCUAAUUUAUGACUAAGUAAUGAACUUACAAAGAGAACAUGUAAUGGAUUGAAAGAAUGUAGUCCUGGUUUGUCAUUUUGGAAUGAGCCCUUUACGUAGAUUGCUUAUUAUGGGAGAGAAUUUUUGUCUUGCCUUUGUUAAAGGAGAUUUCUAAACUAAUAUUUCUCUUGGGUAGUUUUUCUUUUUGGAUAUUUGAAGUAUAUAUGUUAAAUAGAAGUUGCUUGGUUUUCGCAAAUAGGUUUGGAGUUUUUGAAGUUCUUUGUACAUUUGAACUAUGACCUUGUUUUGUUGUUUAUUGUUUAUCAAUUGUACAAUGUUCUUGAUAGCUUUUUCUCUUUUAGAUUUGUUUGGCGUUUAGUAUGAUGAUUAUGUUAUAUGCAUUGCUCUGUUGUUAGCUGCUGGCUGUUGUGUGUAUUUGUGUUUAGGUAGUUAGGUUUUUAAGGGAUGUAGCUCAAAAUGGUAGAGCUCUCAGCUUGUAACCUGUAUGAACAAGUUACAAGACUUACGAGAAGAUCAAGGUUCAAAUCCUUGCAUCCCUGCACCCCAACAUAUUUGGUAGUUUUUGACCUGCCUGUUGAUGGAUUGAAAGAAUCUAAACCCUUGCCUCUGUGUCUCUGGUGCGGAUGCUGUUGGUGGCUGACUAAAAUGGUAGUUUGGAUUAUCUGUGGACUUGGGAACCUGAAUUGGCUGAUGUGUAGUAAAAUGCUCCACCAAUUUUUGAUGUGUAACAAUUCAUUUUCCAUGUACUUAUAAUUAUCGGGGCCGCUCUAUCGCUCACGUGGAAGCUGAAUUUACCUUCUUAUUUUUUCAGGGUUACAUGACUCUUGUUUUUUUGUUUUUUUUUUUGUUUUUGUUUUUUGGGUUGGAGCAUAUACUAGAAUCACCCUAAAAGAGUAUAAAGAUUGCAACUAAUUUAUUUGGGAGUAUAAAGAUGGGAACUAAUUUAUUUGAAA